GCUGGAAUUGUAUGAUUGUGAAGACAUCGCGAACCUUAAAGGUUGAGAAGUGAACGGAUUAUACGGCGAACUGAGACGACGUGAAAAAGGGGAUUGGAAGCGGCAUUGAUGUGAGUACUAAGAGCCAGUCGAAAGUGCCCUGUAUAUUGACCUGGCGUUGUGUAGAUCUCUCCAGGAGGAGGAGGGCGGCCCUACCCCUAAUAUAGCGUGGUGGGAGAGCCGAAGGAAUACUUAUUGAAGUAGUCACAACGACGACAUCACUAGCUAGGCCGCAUAUUCCAUCGCCAGAUCCGAACCAAGCGAAGUGAAGGAAGACGGGUGUCCUUUUCGUACACUGAGUGUGGUGGAUAAACCCCCGCCUUCACGCACUUCGUCGCGGGAGGACAAGGAGACUGCUGGUCCUAGCCUAGUUCAGUACAGUAUAUGUUGUGAGCGUGCUUCAGAUCUCCGGAGAUAGCAUGGUACGCUGUGUCCAGCCCAGAGGUGAAAGCCAUCCAAAGCAGAGUAACUGUGCUUUGUGUCCAAGUUGAUACCUGUGGAGAGGAAAGGAAAGAGAGAGUGAGUAACACAAGGAGAACCAGAGGGAACCUGUACUUACAGUACGCUGUGUCCAGCCCAGAGGUGAAAGCCAUCCAAAGCAGAGUAACUGUGCUUUGUGUCCAAGUUGAUACCUGUGGAGAGGAAAGGAAAGAGAGAGUGAGUAACACAAGGAGAACCAGAGGGAACCUGUACUUACAGUACGCUGUGUUCAGCCCAGAGGUGAGAGCCAUUCAAAGCAAACUAACUGUGCUAUUGUGCCCAAGUUGAUACCUGUGGAGAGAAAAGGAAAGAGAGAUUGAUACCUGUGGAGAGAAAAGGAGAGAGAGUGGGUAACACGAGGAGAGACCGAGGAAAACUGUACUUACGCCGCUACCUGUGGAGAAAGAGAAAGCGAGUGAGCACCCAAGGAACGAACUGUGUGAACCAGUACUUACCGUGAGCUGUAUUCAGCGAAGAGGAGGAAGAAGGAGGGCGCUACGGAUACCUAAGACUCAGGCCGGGGCCCGAGUCCCACGCCCCGGAUCCCCGUGGCCCCCUUUCUCCCUGACCUCUUCCCGGCCAUAGCCCAUCUGGAGGGCCGAGUCAGAGUUUAGUUUUAAUUGCCCUUUCCCUAUUCCCCAAGCUAUUUUUAAAUAUUUAAAUAAAGAUUGUUUUAUCAUUUAUUUGUUCUCGUGUUGUUUGGCCAUUGGGUUGGCUUUGGGGACCUCCUCGAGGUGGAAGUUGAGAAGGGGUGUGGCUUAGUCAAAGCAUAGCCAGCCCCUGGGUGUGACAUUUACA
ensembl:lncRNA